GCACUCACUUUGGCAGCACAUACACUAAACCUGGAAAGGUACAGAGAAAACUAGCAUGGUCCUUGUGCAAGGAUGGCAGCAAAUUUAUGAAGUGUUAAAAAAAAAU